rnacentral:lncRNA from 1 species
CCUCUUCUGCUCUCCCAAAGAACGUGCAAAAUGAAAUUACUAUGACCUGAAAAAUAAAGAGAGCAUUGUAAUAGGCAGACUGGCAACCUUAUGAAGGGUUGAGGUUUGGCUUCUCCUUGCCAGCAGGACAGGCUUUUAUUUUCUUUCAGGGACUAAAAGAAUAGAGCUUUCGCUCCAGCUGCUGUUUGAGGCAAAGUGACUUCCUGCUACAGAGAAAAAAGCAGGGUUUGUUGUUUCCAUUCACAGCAAGGCCAUAAAACGUCUGCAAAUAUCACCAUCUGCCAGUGUGAUAUUCAGGAGCUGCUGUGUAAAUCAAAACAUUUCUGAAUUAAUGAGGAAAACUGCUAACAUCUCCCCAAUUUGUACUUGCGUUACCAGUUACAGUAAGCUUCCAGGUGAGUAAAUUGUCAUUUUCAUUAUCCUCUGGGCAAAAACAGACGAACAGGCACCUUUGCAACCAGAAGCAGAGCUGGCUGCAGCCAGAAA